rnacentral:rRNA from 1 species
UACGGGGGGGGGCAAGCGUUGUUCGGAAUUACUGGGCGUAAAGGGCGCGUAGGCGGCCUAUUAAGUCGGACGUGAAAUCCCUCGGCUCAACCGGGGAACUGCGUCCGAUACUGGCAGGCUUGAAUCCGGGAGAGGGAUGUGGAAUUCCAGGUGUAGCGGUGAAAUGCGUAGAUAUCUGGAGGAACACCGGUGGCGAAGGCGGCAUCCUGGACCGGUAUUGACGCUGAGGCGCGAAAGCUAGGGGAGCAAACGGGG